AUUGAACGCUGGCGGCAUGCUUUACACAUGCAAGUCGAACGGUAACAGGCCGCAAGGUGCUGACGAGUGGCGAACGGGUGAGUAAUGCAUCGGAACGUGCCCAGUCGUGGGGGAUAACGCAGCGAAGGCUGUGCUAAUACCGCAUACGAUCUAUGGAUGAAAGCGGGGGACCGUAAGGCCUCGCGCGAUUGGAGCGGCCGAUGUCAGAUUAGCUAGUUGGUGGAGUAAAGGCCCACCAAGGCGACGAUCUGUAGCUGGUCUGAGAGGACGACCGGCCACACUGGGACUGAGACACGGCCCAGACUCCUACGGGAGGCAGCAGUGGGGAAUUUUGGACAAUGGGCGCAAGCCUGAUCCAGCAAUGCCGCGUGCAGGAAGAAGGCCUUCGGGUUGUAAACUGCUUUUGUACGGAACGAAACGGUCUGGGUUAAUACCCUGGGCUAAUGACGGUACCGUAAGAAUAAGCACCGGCUAACUACGUGCCAGCCGCCGCCGUAAAAC
rnacentral:rRNA from 1 species